rnacentral:rRNA from 1 species
CCGACGGGUGAGUAACACGUAUGCAAUCCACCUGUAACAGGGGAGUAACCGGAGAAAUCCGGACUAAUACCCCAUAAUAUGGGCGCUCCGCAUGGAGAGCCCAUUAGAGAGAGCAAUUUUGGUUACAGACGAGCAUGCGCUCCAUUAGCCAGUUGGCGGGGUAACGGCCCACCAAGGCGACGAUGGAUAGGGGUUCUGAGAGGAAGGUCCCCCACAUUGGAACUGAGACACGGUCCAA